CGGAGGGUGCAAGCGUUAUCCGGAUUCACUGGGUUUAAAGGGUGUGUAGGCGGGCAGUUAAGUCAGUGGUGAAAUCUCCAGGCUCAACCUGGAAACUGCCAUUGAUACUAUCUGUCUUGAAUUCUGUUGAGGUGGGCGGAAUACAUCAUGUAGCGGUGAAAUGCUUAGAUAUGAUGUAGAACACCGAUUGCGAAGGCAGCUCACUAAGCAGCGAUUGACGCUGAGGCACGAAAGCGUGGGGAUCAAACAGGAUUAGAUACCCUGGUAGUCCACGCCCUAAACGAUGAUUACUCGACAUACGCGAUACACAGUGUGUGUCUGAGCGAAAGCAUUAAGUGAUCCACCUGGGAAGUACGACCGCAAGGUUG
rnacentral:rRNA from 1 species